GAUUCUGGCUCAGGAUCAACGCUGGCGGCAUGCCUAAUACAUGCAAGUCGAAUGGUUAGCUUGCUAACCAUGGCGAACGGGUGAGUAACACGUAGGUAACCUGUCUUCAAGACGAGGAUAACCAUUGGAAACGAUGGAUAAUACUGGAUAGGACAAAUCCCCGCAUGAGGAGAUGUUUAAAGGAGCAAUCCACUUGAUGAGGGGCCUGCGGUGCAUUAGCUAGUUGGUGAGGUAAAGGCCCACCAAGGCGAUGAUGCAUAGCCGGACUGAGAGGUUGAACGGCCACAAUGGAACUGAGAACGGUCCAUACUCCUACGGGAGGCAGCAGUAGGGAAUUUUCGGCAAUGGGCGGAAGCCUGAACCCGAGCAAUGCCGCGUGAACGAUGAAGUAUUUCGGUAUGUAAAGUUCUUUUAUUUGGGAAGAAAAAACAAAUUGACGGUACCAAAUGAAUAAGCUCCGGCUAACUACGUGCCAGCAGCCGC
rnacentral:rRNA from 1 species